rnacentral:rRNA from 1 species
GGGAAUCUGCCCUUGGGUUCGGAAUAACAGUUAGAAAUGACUGCUAAUACCGGAUGAUGUCUUCGGACCAAAGAUUUAUCGCCCAAGGAUGAGCCCGCGUAGGAUUAGCUAGUUGGUGGGGUAAAGGCCCACCAAGGCGACGAUCCUUAGCUGGUCUGAGAGGAUGAUCAGCCACACUGGGACUGAGACACGGCCCAGACUCCUACGGGAGGCAGCAGUGGGGAAUAUUGGACAAUGGGCGAAAGCCUGAUCCAGCAAUGCCGCGUGAGUGAUGAAGGCCUUAGGGUUGUAAAGCUCUUUUACCCGGGAUGAUAAUGACAGUACCGGGAGAAUAAGCCCCGGCUAACUCCGUGCCAGCAGCCGCGGUAAUACGGAGGGGGCUAGCGUUGUUCGGAAUUACUGGGCGUAAAGCGCGCGUAGGCGGCUUUGUAAGUUAGAGGUGAAAGCCCGGAGCUCAACUUCGGAAUUGCCUUUAAGACUGCAUCGCUUGAAUCAUGGAGAGGUCAGUGGAAUUCCGAGU